rnacentral:rRNA from 1 species
UACGAAGGGGGCUAGCGUUGUUCGGAUUUACUGGGCGUAAAGCGCGUGUAGGCGGGCCGUUAAGUUAGGGGUGAAAUCCCGAGGCUCAACCUCGGAACUGCCUCUAAAACUGGCGGCCUGGAGCAGAGAAGAGGCGAGCGGAAUUCCGAGUGUAGAGGUGAAAUUCGUAGAUAUUCGGAGGAACACCAGUGGCGAAGGCGGCUCGCUGGUCUCUUGCUGACGCUGAGACGCGAAAGCGUGGGGAGCAAACAGG